rnacentral:tRNA from 1 species
CGGGGUGUAGCGCAGCCAGGCAGCGCACCUGCUUUGGGAGCAGGGGGUCGGAGGUUCGAAUCCUCUCACCCCGA